rnacentral:rRNA from 1 species
GACGAACGCUGGCGGCGUGCCUAACACAUGCAAGUCGAGCGAUGAAGUUUCCUUCGGGAAAUGGAUUAGCGGCGGACGGGUGAGUAACACGUGGGUAACCUGCCUCAUAGAGGGGAAUAGCCUCCCGAAAGGGAGAUUAAUACCGCAUAAUAUUACAGUUUCGCAUGAAACAGUAAUUAAAGGAGCAAUCCGCUAUGAGAUGGACCCGCGGCGCAUUAGCUAGUUGGUGAGGUAACGGCUCACCAAGGCGACGAUGCGUAGCCGACCUGAGGGGGUGAUGGGCCACAUUGGGGCUGGGACACGGCCCAGACUCCCACGGGAGGCAGCAGUGGGGAAUAUUGCACAAUGGGGGAAACCCUGAUGCAGCAACGCCGCGUGAGUGAUGACGGUCUUCGGAUUGUAAAGCUCUGUCUUUGGGGACGAUAAUGACGGUACCCAAGGAGGAAGCCACGGCUAACUACGUGCCAGCAGCCGCCGUAACAC